rnacentral:rRNA from 1 species
UACAGAGGUCUCGAGCGUUGUUCGGAUUCAUUGGGCGUAAAGCGUGCGCAGGCGGUUUUGUAAGUUUGUCGUGAAAUCCCCGGGCUCAACCUGGGAAUGGCGAUGAAGACUGCAAGGCUAGAAUCUGGCAGAGGGGGGUAGAAUUCCACGUGUAGCAGUGAAAUGCGUAGAGAUGUGGAGGAACACCGAUGGCGAAGGCAGCCCCCUGGGUCAAGAUUGACGCUCAUGCACGAAAGCGUGGGGAGCAAACAGG